UGCUGGCGGCGGACAAGGUGAACCGCGCGGCGCUCCCGGCGCCGUCGUCACGACCGCUCGGCUCGGUCGCCGGCGC
rnacentral:tRNA from 1 species